rnacentral:rRNA from 1 species
AUUGAACGCUAGCGGCAUGCCUUACACAUGCAAGUCGAACGGAGUGGCGAACGGGUGAGUAAUGUAUCGGAAUGUGCCCAGUAGAGGGGGAUAACUACGCGAAAGCGUAGCUAAUACCGCAUACUCUUGGCGCGGCCGAUAUCGGAUUAGCUAGUUGGUGGGGUAACGGCCUACCAAGGCGACGAUCCGUAACUGGUUUGAGAGGAUGACCAGCCACACUGGGACUGAGACACGGCCCAGAAUCCUACGAGAGGCAGCAGUGGGGAAUUUUGGACAAUGGGGGAAACCCUGAUCCAGCCAUCCCGCGUGUGGGAAGAAGGCCUUCGGGUUGUAAAGCACUUUUGGCAGGAAGGCGGUACCUGCAGAAUAAGCACCGGCUAACUACGUGCCAGCAGCCGCGGUAAUAC